rfam:TPA: Bos taurus chromosome 1, whole genome shotgun sequence.
UCCCUGCUGGCUCAGAUGGUAAAGAAUCUGCCUGCAAUGCAGAUGACCCUGGUUUGAUCCCUGGGCUGGGAA